GAUGAAGAACGUAGCGAAAUGCGAUACUUGGUGUGAAUUGCAGAAUCCCGUGAACCAUCGAGUCUUUGAACGCAAGUUGCGCCCGAAGCCAUUAGGCCGAGGGCACGCCUGCCUGGGCGUCACACGUCGUUGCCCCCCCAUCUACUCCUUCGGGAUUGCGAGGGGCGGAUGAUGGCCUCCUGUGCGCCUCGUCGCGCGGUUGGCAUAAAUGCCAAGUCCUCGGCGACGCACGCCACGACAAUCGGUGGUUGCGAAACCUCGGUUGCCCGUCGUGUGCGGUCGUCGCGCAUCGAGGGCUCGAAAAAAUUGCCGGGCUCCGGCUCGGCUUUCAACGCGACCCCAGGUCAGGCGGGGUUACCCGCUGAAUUUAAGCAUAUCAAUAAGCGGAGGA
rnacentral:misc_RNA from 1 species